UACGUAGGGGGCUAGCGUUGUCCGGAAUCAUUGGGCGUAAAGCGCGUGUAGGCGGUCCGGUAAGUCCGCUGUGAAAGUCGAGGGCUCAACCCUCGAAUGCCGGUGGAUACUGUCGGGCUUGAGUACGGGAGAGGCGAGUGGAAUUCCCGGUGUAGCGGUGAAAUGCGCAGAUAUCAGGAGGAACACCGAUUGCGAAGGCAGCUCGCUGGAACGUUACUGACGCUGAGACGCGAAAGCGUGGGGAGCAAACAGG
rnacentral:rRNA from 1 species